UGGUAGGAGAGCGUUCUAAGGGCGUUGAAGCAUGAUCGUAAGGACAUGUGGAGCGCUUAGAAGUGAGAAUGCCGGUGUGAGUAGCGAAAGACGGGUGAGAAUCCCGUCCACCGAUUGACUAAGGUUUCCAGAGGAAGGCUCGUCCGCUCUGGGUUAGUCGGGUCCUAAGCUGAGGCCGACAGGCGUAGGCGAUGGAUAACAGGUUGAUAUUCCUGUACCACCUAUAAUCGUUUUAAUCGAUGGGGGGACGCAGUAGGAUAGGCGAAGCGUGCGAUUGGAUUGCACGUCUAAGCAGUAAGGCUGAGUAUUAGGCAAAUCCGGUACUCAUUAAGGCUGAGCUGUGAUGGGGAGAAGACAUUGUGUCUUCGAGUCGUUGAUUUCACACUGCCGAGAAAAGCCUCUAGAUAGAAAAUAGGUGCCCGUACCGCAAACCGACACAGGUAGUCAAGAUGAGAAUUCUAAGGUGAGCGAGCGAACUCUCGUUAAGGAACUCGGCAAAAUGACCCCGUAACUUCGGGAGAAGGGGUGCUCUUUAGGGUUAACGCCCAGAAGAGCCGCAGUGAAUAGGCCCAAGCGACUGUUUAUCAAAAACACAGGUCUCUGCUAAACCGUAAGGUGAUGUAUAGGGGCUGACGCCUGCCCGGUGCUGGAAGGUUAAGAGGAGUGGUUAGCUUCUGCGAAGCUACGAAUCGAAGCCCCAGUAAACGGCGGCCGUAACUAUAACGGUCCUAAGGUAGCGAAAUUCCUUGUCGGGUAAGUUCCGACCCGCACGAAAGGCGUAACGAUUUGGGCACUGUCUCAACGAGAGACUCGGUGAAAUCAUAGUACCUGUGAAGAUGCAGGUUACCCGCGACAGGACGGAAAGACCCCGUGGAGCUUUACUGUAGCCUGAUAUUGAAAUUCGGCACAGCUUGUACAGGAUAGGUAGGAGCCUUUGAAACGUGAGCGCUAGCUUACGUGGAGGCGCUGGUGGGAUACUACCCUAGCUGUGUUGGCUUUCUAACCCGCACCACUUAUCGUGGUGGGAGACAGUGUCAGGCGGGCAGUUUGACUGGGGCGGUCGCCUCCUAAAAGGUAACGGAGGCGCUCAAAGGUUCCCUCAGAAUGGUUGGAAAUCAUUCAUAGAGUGUAAAGGCAUAAGGGAGCUUGACUGCGAGACCUACAAGUCGAGCAGGGUCGAAAGACGGACUUAGUGAUCCGGUGGUUCCGCAUGGAAGGGCCAUCGCUCAACGGAUAAAAGCUACCCCGGGGAUAACAGGCUUAUCUCCCCCAAGAGUUCACAUCGACGGGGAGGUUUGGCACCUCGAUGUCGGCUCAUCGCAUCCUGGGGCUGUAGUCGGUCCCAAGGGUUGGGCUGUUCGCCCAUUAAAGCGGUACGCGAGCUGGGUUCAGAACGUCGUGAGACAGUUCGGUCCCUAUCCGUCGUGGGCGUAGGAAAUUUGAGAGGAGCUGUCCUUAGUACGAGAGGACCGGGAUGGACAUACCUCUGGUGUACCAGUUGUCGUGCCAACGGCAUAGCUGGGUAGCUAUGUGUGGACGGGAUAAGUGCUGAAAGCAUCUAAGCAUGAAGCCCCCCUCAAGAUGAGAUUUCCCAACUUCGGUUAUAAGAUCCCUCAAAGAUGAUGAGGUUAAUAGGUUCGAGGUGGAAGCAUGGUGACAUGUGGAGCUGACGAAUACUAAUCGAUCGAAGACUUAAUCAA
rnacentral:rRNA from 1 species